rnacentral:rRNA from 1 species
AGGAAAAGGAAAACGCGGAGGAAACGGAAAGCGUAUCCGGCGGGCGCGCGGGUGGGCGGCUAUAAACCACCCGCCCCGCCCCCGCCGAUUCCCCAAUCCCAAUCCCCACCCCGCCCACCGAUUCCCCAAUCUUCGUCCGGCGGAACCCUAGCCCGCUCCGGCGCGACCUCCACGCCGGGACGCCUCCCUCCCGUACGGCGGAAUCGGCGGCCCGCUCCCUCCCCGGCGCCAAGCACGCUCCGGAAGGUCGCCCCCGCCGCCCGGCGUCACCCCCGCCGUCCCCGUCCACACCGCCAGGAUCCGCGCCGCGCCGUCCGAGGGAUUCGACUCCGCGCCGCGCCGUCCGAGGGAUUCGACUCCGCGCCGUCGCCAAGGGACCCGCCGCCGCCGCCGUCCGCGUCGGAUCGGGCCCGAUCUGUAACUUCGCCCGCCGUCUGCGGCUCUCCCUGUACUAUUUGAUCGCUAGAUUGAUCGAUCUGUGAGAAGUCCUCCCCGGACCUCUCGCGAAUUGUGUGUUUGCAAAGCGAGAGGCCCGGAGAGAGGGGCAGACAGACUCCGAUUCAUCACCAUGGGUGUCUUGUAUUACAAAUAUAAGAGUGCAAAGGAAACUUACCCUGUGACGUUGCCCUACUCGUUUAUAUCCGUGCCUGAUCUCAAGCAGCUCAUCUUGUCGAGUAACCGGCACGGCACUGGCCGUAGCCGCGGCCGCGGCCCCCGCGAGGAUAUCGCCCUCUCCAACGCCCAGACCGGCGAAGAAUACGCAGAGGAUGCAAUGAUACCACAGAACGUAACUGUGCUUGUCCGCCGAACUGCCGGGCAAGAGUCGGAGAAUAUCGUCGUGGUCUCCUCGCGGAAAGUAAUAGAAGAUGGUUCUAUAGCUUCAAACAGAUCAGUGGUUACUGAAUCAGUCUCAAAAUCUUGUUCCUCCGCAGAAGUGAAAGAUGAAGAUGCUGCAAUCGCAGCUGUGAUUGAUGCGGCUGAGCUUAAAUGGGAAGAGCAGUCAUUUAAGAGAGGACAAGCUCCUGGAAGGUUUACAUCAGGACGCCAUAAUGGCCAUGGAUCAUCAGAGAGGGAGGCACCUCCACCCGGCUAUGUGUGCCGCAGCUGCGGGGUUGCAGGCCAUUUCAUUCAACAUUGCCCACAGGAAAACCAGACGCCUCCACCUGGCUAUACCUGCUACAGAUGCCGGAUUCCAGGGCAUUUUAUUCAGCAUUGCCCAACCAUUGGCGAUUCCAAAUUUGACAACUACAAAAUGUCUCGUCCAGUUGCCCCGGUCGUAUCUCCAAAUCCGGCUGAUGACAUUCUAUCUGCACUUGCCCCAGCUGCAUCUGCGAGUGUAGUUGAUGACUUGCCAGCAGAACUCCACUGCCAACUAUGUAAUAAGGUGAUGGCAGAUGCGGUGUUAACAAGCAAGUGCUGCUUUGUCAGUUUCUGUGAUAAAUGUAUUCGAGAUUACAUUAUUACACAAUCGAAGUGCAUUUGUGGAGUCAAGGUCCUUGCAGAUUCCCUCAUCCCCAACCCCACAGUUAGGAGCACAAUCAGCAAUUUGUUAGGUACAAGGACUUGCAGCACUGCCAGCGGUACAGGGAAGCACAGAAGUUCUUCAGGAAGCAACCCUGAUCCCAAAUCACAGAGCCACACCACCUCGGCUGCUUUGGAAAGGGACACAAAGCAAUGUAUGGACAACCAGCUAUCGGCAGCUUCUCCCGACGCCCGCCUCCAGGUCGCCACAGAAGGUGAUCAAGUUGACCGCCCUCAGAAGAAUUCUGAUCUGAAGAGCAACACUGAAGGCUCUGCAGGGCGUUCAGUAGAGAAAGCCGUACCUGGUGCUGACCUCCCCAAACUGAAGGAUGUGAGCGAAUCAACUUUAAAGAACGGUACUAUUUCAGGGAGCUUGGAACCAAAAGUUGCUAGGCCUGAUCAGUUGAAGAAGAAGCGGAAGAAGGCAGACUCAUCUAAGGCUGUUCAUCCAAACAAUGCUGACUAUGGUUACAACGUUCCAUUUGACCCUGCAUAUUGUAACCCUUUCAAUGGUGCAUAUCCCAUGGGUCCAUUUGGUGUACCUGAUCCAUACAUGUACGGCUCAAUGGGCAUGCCCUAUGGUGGUUUCCCGAUGGGUCCAUUUGGUAUGAAUCCCUACGGCAAUAUUCCGCCGCAGGCUCUUGCCAUGCAAGGCUAUCCGCCAAACUAUCAAAGCUGGGAAAACCAGGCCGCGCUACACCGUGAUGCCGAAGCUGCUGCACGCUCAAGGCAGGUCUCCCAGGGGAACGCUGAAGCUGCUGCACGUUCAAGGCAGACCGAGAGGCCAAAUGACUCCGGUGCUUGGCCCAGGCCAUCAGAUCGCAACCAGCGCAUGGGCUCUCCUCAAGGCAGAGAGUUGAGGGACAGGCCCCAGUCAAGACCUGAACCAUCAGAGCGCAACCAGCGUUUGGGUUCUCCUCGCGGCAGAGAGUCCAGAGACAGGUCCCGGUCUAGAUCUAAACCAUCAGAGCGCAGCCAGCGCUCGGUUUCUCCUCGCCGCAGAGAGUCGAGGGACAGGUCCCGGUCAAGACCGGCAAGGAGUAGUAGGGACCAUGGGCGUUCCGACAGAGGUUCCAGUGACUACCACGAGGAUCACCAUGACAGGAAGAGAAUGCGUGUCUCUUCUACCGUUGAUGGUGAUACAGAGAGCAGCCAGAGGUCCAGACACAGUUCUAGGAGCAGCCUCAGGCGCGACGACGCAAGCGACGAUGAGCAGAAUUUCAAGAGGAAGUGGGGACGAUGAUCACCGGUCGCCAUGGAUGGAUGCAAGGUUCUGAAUAAAGAUGGAGGACUUGUUGCAGCAUUGCUGAUGUCCAGUGCUUUGCUGAUGAGACUUGUUUUACUAGUGAUUGUAUAUGUCUCGGAAAGCAGAGGAUAAUUCCUCUUGCAGAAUGUUAAACCAUUAUCAUACCAGAGAUUUGUAAUAUAUAUCUGAGAGUUCCCAGAUCUCUUCCUCUGUAAUGGAAUGUUAUUACCAAGAUAAAUGAAAUUAUCAUCAGCUACAUAUCGAGUUGUUAUUAUAUGCAUUU